rnacentral:rRNA from 1 species
GACGAACGCUGGCGGCGUGCUUAACACAUGCAAGUCGAACGGACAGGCCCUGCUUUUGUGGGGUGCUCGAGUGGCGAACGGGUGAGUAACACGUGAGUAACCUGCCCUUGACUUUGGGAUAACUUCAGGAAACUGGGGCUAAUACCGGAUAGGAGCUCCUGCUGCAUGGUGGGGGUUGGAAAGUUUCGGCGGUUGGGGAUGGACUCGCGGCUUCUCAGCUUGUUUGUGGGGUAGUGGCUUACCAAGUCUUUGACGGGUAGCCGGCCUGAGAGGGUUACCGGCCACAUUGGGACUGAGAUACGGCCCAGACUCCUACGGGAGGCAGCAGUGGGGAAUAUUGCAGAAUGGGCGGAAGUCUGAGGCAGCAACGUCGCGUGCGGGAUGACGGCCUUCGGGUUGUAAACCGCUUUCGCCUGUGACGAAGCGUGAGUGACGGUAAUGGGUAAAGAAGCACCGGCUAACUACGUG